UCCUACGGGCCCAACCUCCCACCCGUGUCUAUUGUACCUGUUGCUUCGGCGGGCCGCCGCUUGUCGGCCGCCGGGGGGGCAUCUCUGCCCCUCGGGCCCGUGCCCGCCGGAGACACCAACACGAACACUGUCUGAAUCGUGAAGUCUGAGUCGAUUGUUUUCAAUCAGUUAAACUUUCAACAAUGGAUCUCUUGGUUCCGGCAUCGAUGCAGAACGCAUCGAAUGCGAUAACUAAUGUGAAUUGCAGAAUUCAGUGAAUCAUCGAGUCUUUGAACGCACAUUGCGCCCCCUGGUAUUCCGGGGGGCAUGCCUGUCCGAGCGUCAUUGCUGCCCUCAAGCCCGGCUUGUGUGUUGGGUCGCCGUCCCCCUGUCUGGGGGGACGGGCCGAGGCAGAGAUGCGGCACCGCGUCCGAUCCUCGAGCGUAUGGGGCUUUGUCACAUGCUCUGUAGGAUUGGCCGGCGCCUGCCGACAACUCCAACCUUUUCCAGGUUGACCUCGGAUCAGGUAGGGAUACCCGC
rnacentral:rRNA from 1 species